GUGCUCCAACAGGGCCCCUGAGCAGGACUGGAGGCAGUCAGAGAAGGACCUGUGGGAGCAGCUGGUAGAAAGCAGGCGGCAGAGGGCCGAGCUGGCCAGCCAUCUUCGAGCAGUGCUGGAGGCCCUAUCGGAGCAAGCCCUUGUGCUGCAGAGGCGAGAGCAUGAGCUGGGACUCAGCUGGUCCUAAAGCAGAAACAUGCCACAGCAGUUCUGCUGGCCUCCAUCCUGAAACCCGUCAGCAGCUGGAGAGCAGCUGGAGAGGCAAUGUAUCUCAGACCCAGCUGGAGGCAGAGGAUGCACAGCUGGAGCGUGUCGUGAUAGAUAACAGCCGAAAGCAGCCCCUCAGGGCCCCAGGGCAGGGGUCCAUGCUGGGCUGUCAGCUGGGCUGUUGGCUGCCAGUCCGCCUGCGUUAUCAGAGGCUGCAGACACUGCCCUGCCUGGUGGGAGGCAGGGAAGCUAGGCCUACCUAUCCGAGGCUCUGUGCUGCCUUUGACCCUCCCACUCAGUCUCCUCCCAGCAAGUGGAGUGGCCUGGCCUGCCUGGAGCAGGAGAGGCACCAAAGGCAGGGAUCCCAGGGACAGGCUGAGUGGAGGAGGCCAGACCAGGACAUAGAAGACAAGAUCCUGCUGCUGCAGACAGAAGUGGAAAAGGCCCAGCGGUGUUUGGACCAGAUGACCCAACAGCCUCUUGGCCCAGAGCCCAGCCCGGGGAUACCCCAAUACACUCCAGGUCCCGGAGGUACUAGUGCCCCUCAGGAAACAGCUAGAAGCACAAGAAUCACAUCCCAGGCUUUGUGA
rnacentral:lncRNA from 1 species